UGCAUUGUAACGGUGUAAUUUUGCUUACUUGUUGAAUAGUUAGCAAGUUUUAAUGGAAAUAGAAAAUAUUGGUUAUCUAGACAAAUGUGCUCUUGUUUUUAGUAUAUUUUUAUAACUCUUUUGUAAUGUCUUCGUUAUCAGAGCCCUUCAAAUUAGAAUAGUGAUGAUGAUCUUGUCAAUGCUGAGAUUUUCAUGCAUCAACAGCCAUUACAUCUGGAUCAGAUUGAACAAGAAACAGACAGCAAGGGUUGUCAGAUCAGAAACAGAAUGACACACAAACACAAGAAACUUCACAGGCAGAUCAACAUGCAAUUUGAAGACGUGUGAUAAAAUACAGAGAGGUGAAGUAGUGUGUCUUUCCAGAUCCCUA